UACGUAGGGUGCAAGCGUUGUCCGGAAUUAUUGGGCGUAAAGAGCUCGUAGGCGGCUCGUCACGUCGGCUGUGAAAACCCGGGGCUCAACCCCGGGCCUGCAGUCGAUACGGGCGGGCUAGAGUCCGGUAGGGGAGACUGGAAUUCCUGGUGUAGCGGUGAAAUGCGCAGAUAUCAGGAGGAACACCGGUGGCGAAGGCGGGUCUCUGGGCCGGAACUGACGCUAAGGAGCGAAAGCGUGGGGAGCGAACAGG
rnacentral:rRNA from 1 species